AUGAAGAUCCACUCCUGACCAGAUUUACUUGCACCAUGUUGAAGAUCUCUUGUAAACCUUUCAUCUGUAGUUUUUAUUAAAAAAUCGUUUUCUCUGGGAUUUGAAACAUGGAUUUCCUGUAAUAUGCAAAAAAUUGCAUAGUCUGAGAUUCAAACCUCAGAUCUGAGUAUAGAAGCUUUUAAACUUUAACCAGUAGGCUACAGUGUUUCCACCAAUUUUUUUGUUAAAAUCGUUGCAAUCUUGUUUAUUUAAGUAUAUAUGGAAAUAGGAAAUAUCACAUCAUGUUUCUUUAGUUAUAUCGUAGUCCUUUUCGACCUAAAAUAUCCUUCACUGAAAAUUAGCAAUCUGUUACAAAAAUUUAUUCCAAAACGAACCAAGGUCGACCUCUUGAGUCUUGACGUUAAUGUGGUUACUGCUAUAUAGUGCCGUUGCUUAAUUUUUAUUCAAACGGCGAACUAAUACUUUUUAUAGUUUUGAUCCAAAUGAAAGGACGUUAUAUUGAGUUGAACUAAGAAAUAAACUUAGGGUAUGACCGAUUUUCCCGCUACCACCCGCAAACGCAGCUUUUGCGGUUGAUAGCGGUUGUUGGCGUUUGGCAACAAUCGUUCUAACCACUCCAAACUGCUCCAAACCGCUCCAAACCGUCCUAUGAAGAUCCACUCCUGGCCAGAUUUACUUGCACCAUGUUGAAGAUCUCUUGUAAGCCUUUCAUCUGUAGUUUUUAUUAAAAAAUCGCUUUCUCUAGAACUUGAAACAUGGAUUUCCUGUAAUAUGCAAAAAAUUGCAUAGUCUGGGA
rnacentral:lncRNA from 1 species